UACAGAGGUCUCAAGCGUUGUUCGGAAUUACUGGGCGUAAAGGGCUCGUAGGUGGCCAACUAAGUCAGACGUGAAAUCCCUCGGCUUAACCGGGGAACUGCGUCUGAUACUGGAUGGCUUGAGUUUGGGAGAGGGAUGCGGAAUUCCAGGUGUAGCGGUGAAAUGCGUAGAUAUCUGGAGGAACACCGGUGGCGAAGGCGGGUCUCUGGGCCGAUACUGACGCUGAGGAGCGAAAGCGUGGGGAGCGAACAGG
rnacentral:rRNA from 1 species